UACGGGGGGAGCAAGCGUUGUUCGGAUUUAUUGGGCGUAAAGAGCUCGUAGGCGGCUUGUCGCGUCGUCCGUGAAAACUUGGGGCUCAACCCCAAGCUUGCGGUCGAUACGGGCAGGCUAGAGUUCGGUAGGGGAGACUGGAAUUUCUGGUGUAGCGGUGAAAUGCGUAGAUAUCAGAAGGAACAUCAGUGGCGAAAGCGGCUUCCUGGACCAGAACUGACGAUCAGGCACGAAAGCGUGGGGAGCAAACAGG
rnacentral:rRNA from 1 species